GCAACCAGGACCAGAGUGUGUACAAUUCUGGAAAGAGAGAAACCUGCAUUGGUGAUCUGAGAAUUUGAGGCCCUCACUGGUGAUGUCUACCGGCUCUUGUUCAGCUGUUUGGCUGUUUCAACAGUUUUGGAGCCUGGCUGGGAACUAGUCCUGGAGGGGAGAAACCCAGAGAGGGGGAAAAGGAACCGAAGGAGCUUGAUGUGAGGCUGGACCCUGGGACCCUGAACUGAUAUCAAGCGUUGAA